AACGAACGCUGGCGGCGCGCCUAAUACAUGCAAGUCGAGCGAGAAGGUGUAGCAAUACACUUGUAAAGCGGCGAACGGGUGAGGAAUACAUGGGUAAUCUACCAUCGAGUGGGGAAUAACCAACCGAAAGGUUGGCUAAUACCGCGUACGCCUCCGAGUCUUCGGGUUCGGAGGGAAAGCUGCACUGUGAGUGUAGCGCUCUUUGAUGAGCUCAUGUCCUAUCAGCUUGUUGGUAGGGUAACGGCCUACCAAGGCUUUGACGGGUAGCUGGUCUGAGAGGACGAUCAGCCACACUGGCACUGCGACACGGGCCAGACUCCUACGGGAGGCAGCAGUAAGGAAUAUUGCGCAAUGGGCGAAAGCCUGACGCAGCGACGCCGCGUGGGGGAUGAAGGUCUUCGGAUUGUAAACCCCUUUCGGGAGGGAAGAUGGAACGAGCAAUCGUUCGGACGGUACCUCCAGAAGCAGCCACGGCCAACUCGUGCCAGCAGC
rnacentral:rRNA from 1 species